rnacentral:rRNA from 1 species
GACGAACACUGGCGGCGUGCUUAACACAUGCAAGUCGAACGGUAAGGCCCUGCUUUUGUGGGGUGCUCGAGUGGCGAACGGGUGAGUAACACGUGAGUAACCUGCCCUUGACUUUGGGAUAACUUCAGGAAACGGGGGCUAAUACCGGAUAGGAGCUCCUGCUGCAGGGUGGGGGUUGGACAGUUUCGGCGGUUGGGGAUGGACUCGGGGCUUAUCAGCUUGUUGGUGGGGUAGUGGCUUACCAAGGCUUUGACGGGUAGCCGGCCUGAGAGGGUGACCGGCCACAUUGGGACUGCGAUACGACCCAGAAUCCUACAGGAGGCAGCAGUGGGGAAUAUUGCACAGUGGGCGGGAGCCUGAUGCAGCAGCGCCGCGUGCGGGAUGACGGCCUUCGGGUUGUGAACCGCUUUCGCCUGUGACGAAGCGUGAGUGACGGUAAUGGGUAAAGAAGCACCGGCUAACUACGUG